rnacentral:rRNA from 1 species
AGACGAACCGGGCGAACGUUAUCCGGAAUCACUGGGCUUAAAGCGUGCGUAGGCGGCUUGGCAAGUUGGGUGUGAAAGCCCUCGGCUCAACCGAGGAACUGCGCCCAAAACUGCCAGGCUUGAGGGAGAUAGAGGUGAGUGGAACUAAUGGUGGAGCGGUGAAAUGUUUUGAUAUCAUUAGGAACACCGGUGGCGAAAGCGGCUCACUGGGUCUCUUCUGACGCUGAGGCACGAAAGCUAGGGGAGCGAACGGGAUUAGAAACCCUAGUAGUCC